CUACAUUCUCGGCCUUUUGGCUAACAUCAAGUGUUGUGUCUGUCCGUAUCAGUUUAAUAUCUGAUACGUCUUCGAUGUGAAGAUGCUGUAUUAAGCGGAUUUUUGGAGUAAGGAGGUGGGUUGGGAGCUUGCUCUAUCCCCUCCAAGCAUCGGCUUGGUAUUGCAGUGCUACCAGGAUGGGUGCCUUCCCC